rnacentral:rRNA from 1 species
AACUCGACCACACGAAGCUGGAAUCGCUAGUAAUCGCGAAUCAGCAUGUCGCGGUGAAUACGUUCCCGGGUCUUGUACACACCGCCCGUCACACCAUGGGAGUUGGGAAUGCCCGAAGUCAGUGACCCAACCGCAAGGAGGGAGCUGCCGAAGGCAGGCUCGAUAACUGGGGUGAAGUCGUAACAAGGUAGC